rnacentral:rRNA from 1 species
GACGAACGCUGGCGGCGUGCUUAACACAUGCCAGUCGAACGGAAAGGCCCUGCUUUUGUGGGGUGCUCGAGUGGCGAACGGGUGAGUAACACGUGAGUAACCUGCCCUUGACUUUGGGAUAACUUCAGGAAACUGGGGCUAAUACCGGAUAGGAGCUCCUGCGGCAUGGUGGGGGUUGGAAAGUUUCGGCGGUUGGGGAUGGACUCGCGGCUUAUCAGCUUGUUGGUGGGGUAGUGGCUUACCAAGGCUUUGACGGGUAGCCGGCCUGAGAGGGUGACCGGCCACAGUGGGACUGAGAGACGGCCCAGACUCCGACGGGAGGCAGCAGUGGGGAAUAUUGCACAAUGGGCGGAAGCCUGAUGCAGCAACGCCGCGUGAGGGAUGACGGCCUUCGGGUUGUAAACCGCUUUCGGCGGGGACGAAGCGUGAGUGACGGUAAUGGGUAAAGAAGCGCCGGCAAACUACGUG